GAUGGAGUUACUGCUCAGUGGUAGAAUGCUUGCCUAGCAUGCAGGAGGCACUGGGUUCAAUCCCCAGCACCACA
rnacentral:tRNA from 1 species